rnacentral:lncRNA from 1 species
UGGUGUGUUCAUUUUCAUUUUAAAUUCUCCAAAGCAAUUUCGCCAUGUGCAUGAUGACUCAUUCAACAUGUGGAACUCCCUUUCUCCAUGGCCUAGUUCACUUGGGCCUAGUUUCAUGGGCCUCAUGCUGAUUUUAUUUUUAUCACUCUGAAUUUAAUUCUCACUCCCCUUCUGGCCAAACGCAUUUUUUCAGUGGGCCUUUCCAAAGCCCAAGCACGUUUGGUUAUUGGAACCCAUGUACAUGGGCCUUACCCUUUAGAAUCGGCCCAUUAUUUUUUUAUACUUCUUUUAUUUUCAUUUGUUUGAUUUUGUUAUAUUUUUUUAAUUGUU